rnacentral:rRNA from 1 species
GGCUAACGCUGGCGGCGCGCCUAACACAUGCAAGUCGAACGAAACCUUCGGGGUGAGUGGCAGACGGGUGAGGAACGCGUGGAAAAUGUGCCCCUUUGCUGGGGAUAUCGUUUCGAAAGGGAAGGUAAUAACGAAAGUGCUUGGUUGGCGGGCUCCGCGAGCAAGUAAACUGUUAGGGGGAAGAGAGCAGUCCGCGGUCUAUCAGCUAGUUGGUGAGGUAACGGCUCACCAAGGCUACGACGGAUAACUGGUCUGAGAGGAUGAUCAGUCACACUGGAACUGAGACACGGUCCAGACUCCUACGGGAGGCAGCAGUGAGGAAUCUUGCACAAUGGGCGAAAGCCUGAUGCAGCGACGCCGCGUGAGGGAUGAAGGCCUUCGGGUUGUAAACCUCUGUCAGUAGGGAAGAAGAAUGACGGUACCUACUGAGGAAGCUUCGGCUAACUACGUG